rnacentral:tRNA from 2 species
GCGCCCGUAGCUCAGUCGGAUAGAGCGCUGGACUUCGAAUCCAUAGGUCGCAGGUUCGAGCCCUGCCGGGCGCGCCA